rnacentral:rRNA from 1 species
AUUGAACGCUGGCGGCAGGCUUAACACAUGCAAGUCGAGCGGGGAAAGGUAGCUUGCUACUGGACCUAGCGGCGGACGGGUGAGUAAUGCUUAGGAAUCUGCCUAUUAGUGGGGGACAACAUCUCGAAAGGGAUGCUAAUACCGCAUACGUCCUACGGGAGAAAGCAGGGGAUCUUCGGACCUUGCGCUAAUAGAUGAGCCUAAGUCGGAUUAGCUAGUUGGUGGGGUAAAGGCCUACCAAGGCGACGAUCUGUAGCGGGUCUGAGAGGAUGAUCCGCCACACUGGGACUGAGACACGGUCCAGACUCCUACGGGAGGCAGCAGUGGGGAAUAUUGGACAAUGGGGGGAACCCUGAUCCAGCCAUGCCGCGUGUGUGAAGAAGGCCUUAUGGUUGUAAAGCACUUUAAGCGAGGAGGAGGCUACUUUAGUUAAUACCUAGAGAUAGUGGACGUUACUCGCAGAAUAAGCACCGGCUAACUCUGUGCCAGCCGCCGCGGUAA